rnacentral:rRNA from 1 species
AGUCGAGCGAGUCUGCCUUGAAGAUCGGAGUGCUUGCACUCUGUGAAACAAGAUACAGGCUAGCGGCGGACGGGUGAGUAACACGUGGGUAACCUGCCCAAGAGAUCGGGAUAACACCUGGAAACAGAUGCUAAUACCGGAUAACAACAGAUGAUGCCUAUCAACUGUUUAAAAGAUGGUUCUGCUAUCACUCUUGGAUGGACCUGCGGUGCAUUAGCUAGUUGGUAGGGUAACGGCCUACCAAGGCGAUGAUGCAUAGCCGAGUUGAGAGACUGAUCGGCCACAUUGGGACUGAGACACGGCCCCAACUCCUACGGGAGGCAGCAGUAGGGAAUCUUCCACAAUGGACGCAAGUCUGAUGGAGCAACGCCGCGUGAGUGAAGAAGGGUUUCGGCUCGUAAAGCUCUGUUGUUGGUGAAGAAGGACGGGGGUAGUAACUGACCUUUGUUUGACGGUAAUCAAUUAGAAAGUCACGGCUAACUACGUGCCAGCAGCCGCGGUAAUACGUAGGUGGCAAGCGUUGUCCGGAUUUAUUGGGCGUAAAGCGAGUGCAGGCGGUUCGAUAAGUCUGAUGUGAAAGCCUUCGGCUCAACCGGAGAAUUGCAUCAGAAACUGUCGAGCUUGAGUACAGAAGAGGAGAGUGGAACUCCAUGUGUAGCGGUGAAAUGCGUAGAUAUAUGGAAGAACACCGGUGGCGAAGGCGGCUCUCUGGUCUGUUACUGACGCUG